rnacentral:precursor_RNA from 9 species
AUUUCCAAAAUGGUGGAGCACCUGGUUCUGUAAUAUCAGCUGGUAAUCCUGAGUUACUGAUUAUCUCAGGAUUUUGGUUGAUAUUAAACAAACAGGCUCGAUAUUCAACAGGCAGUUA